rnacentral:rRNA from 1 species
UACGUAGGUGGCAAGCGUUGUCCGGAAUUAUUGGGCGUAAAGCGCGCGCAGGCGGUCCUUUUAAGUCUGAUGUGAAAGCCCACGGCUCAACCGUGGAGGGUCAUUGGAAACUGGGGGACUUGAGUACAGAAGAGAAGAGUGGAAUUCCACGUGUAGCGGUGAAAUGCGUAGAGAUGUGGAGGAACACCAGUGGCGAAGGCGACUCUUUGGUCUGUAACUGACGCUGAGGCGCGAAAGCGUGGGAGCAAACAGG